rnacentral:rRNA from 1 species
GGAAUAUUGCGCAAUGGGCGAAAGCCUGACGCAGCGACGCCGCGUGUGGGAGGAAGCCUUUCGGGGUGUAAACCACUGUCAGAGGGGAAGAACAGCAUCAUGUCGAACAGGCCUGGUGAUUGGCGGUACCCUCAAAGGAAGCGCCGGCUAACUCCGUGCCAGCAGCCGCAGUAAGACGGAGGGCGCAAGCGUUGUUCGGAAUUACUGGGCGUAAAGCGCGGGCAGGUGGUCCGUUAAGUCGUUUGUGAAAAUCCGGGGCUCAACCCCGUGAAAUGCAUACGAUACUGGCGGGCUGGAGAUCGGUAGAGGCUAGCGGAAUUCCUGGUGUAGCGGUGGAAUGCGUAGAUAUCAGGAAGAACACCCGUGGCGAAGGCGGCUAGCUGGGCCGAGUCUGACACUCAUCCGCGAAAGCGUGGGGAGCAAA